rnacentral:rRNA from 1 species
CAUGUAGGAAUUUAAAAGUUGAACAAACUCCUUAAUUUAACUUCUUCAUUAAAAAAGUACCCUAAUCCAACAUCGAGGUCGCAAUCAAUUUUAUCUAUAUGAGCUAUCCAAAAUUAUAACGCUGUUAUCCCUAGAGUAUUUAAUUCAUUAAAUCAAUAAUAUUGGAUCCAAUUUAAUUAAAACAUAAAGAUCUGCACUCUUUAUUAAUCGCCCCAACUAAUCUUUUAAUAAAAAAUUCUUUUUAUUAAAAAAAUAAAAUUCAUAGGGUCUUCUUGUCCCUUAAAAUAAUUUUCGCCUCUGCACAUAAAAAGUUAAAUUCUAUUUUUAUAAUAAAGACAGAGUAAAAUUGUUCUAUCAUUCUCUUAGCGCCCAUUUAAAGCCUUAUUUCAAUACCUUCGUAUAGUCAAAAUACCACAGCAAUUUAAAAAAUCAUUGAGCAGAAUUUACAUUUUAUUAUUUUCAAAAUGAAAUGUUUUUGU